rnacentral:rRNA from 1 species
AUGAACGCUAGCGGCAGGCCUAACACAUGCAAGUCGAGGGGGAGGUUACUUUCGGGUAACUGAGACCGGCGUACGGGUGCGUAACGCGUAUACAAUCUGCCUUUCACUGGGGGAUAGCCCGAAGAAAUUUGGAUUAAUACCCCAUAGUAUAGUAAUACGGCAUCGUGAUGCUAUUAAAGCUUAGGUGGUGAAAGAUGAGUAUGCGUUCUAUUAGCUAGUUGGAGAGGUAACGGCUCCCCAAGGCGAUGAUAGAUAGGGGUUCUGAGAGGGAUGUCCCCCUCACUGGUACUGAGAUACGGACCAGACUCCUACGGGAGGCAGCAGUGAGGAAUAUUGGACAAUGGUCGGAAGACUGAUCCAGCCAUGCCGCGUGCAGGAUGAAGGUCUUAUGGAUUGUAAACUGCUUUUGUAAGGGAAGAAUAAGGGCUACGCGUAGUUUGAUGACGGUACCUUACGAAUAAGCAUCGGCUAACUCCGUG